UACAGAGGUCUCAAGCGUUGUUCGGAUUCAUUGGGCGUAAAGGGUGCGUAGGCGGCGCGGUAAGUCGGGGGUGAAAUCUCGGGGCUUAACUCCGAAACUGCAUUCGAUACUACCGUGCUUGAGGACUGGAGAGGAGACUGGAAUUCAUGGUGUAGCGGUGAAAUGCGUAGAGAUCAUGAGGAAGACCAGUGGCGAAGGCGGGUCUCUGGACAGUUCCUGACACUGAGACACGAAGGCGAGGGGAGCAAACGGG
rnacentral:rRNA from 1 species